rnacentral:rRNA from 1 species
GACAGAGGGUGCUAGCGUUGUUCGGAAUUACUGGGCGUAAAGGGCGCGUAGGCGGCUCGUUUAGUCGGGUGUGAAAUCCCGGGGCUCAACCCCGGAACUGCAUUCGAUACUGGCGGGCUAGAGACCGGAAGAGGUGGGUGGAAUACCCAGUGUAGAGGUGAAAUUCGUAGAUAUUGGGUGGAACACCAGUGGCGAAGGCGGCUCACUGGUCCGGUACUGACGCUGAGGUGCGAAAGCGUGGGGAGCAAACAGG